GAACAUGAGAGUUUGAUCCUGGCUCAGGACGAACGCUGGCGGCGUGCCUAACACAUGCAAGUCGAGCGGAGGGGAUAGGAGCUUGCUCCUUGAACCUUAGCGGCGGACGGGUGAGUAACACGUGGGUAACCUGCCCUUGAGAGGGGGAUAACAGGUCGAAAGGCCUGCUAAUACCGCAUAACGCUAAGAUGCCGCAUGGCGUCUUAGCCAAAGGUUAAUUCCGCUCAAGGAUGGGCCCGCGGCCCAUUAGCUAG
rnacentral:ncRNA from 1 species